CGGGGGCUCAUUUCUUCAGGACGGUUGGUCACAUGCAAAGCUGCUGGGGAAGCAGGCUCCUCUGGUUCCUCUGGUUCCUCUGGUCUCGGUACUCCCCCCUGGGUGCUCCCCCAGAGCCCUGCUGGCCCCUCCACUGGGAGCAAAGCGAACGAUACGCACACCAGCAAGCUGGAGGGUGAGAAAGCAGAAAUGAAGUUGUUCCCCCCCCCCCGCCCCGCCCGAAUUACUAUGGAACAAUGUGCAGCUCUAUUGUACUUUAACAAGUCAUCCCGUUGCCAUGGUAACCCGGAAGAGGCCUUUGAAGUUCCUCUGGAUGGACAGAGGGAUGCGGGGCGCGGGCCCUGCGGCUCCCGGGCUGGCCGCCAGAGGGCGCGCUCGGGGCGGGGAAGCGCAGCAGGCCUCUGGCUUGUGAGAUGGACCCCCCUCCCCCGGAGAAGCCUCCACCCCGUGCUCAACCGUGCCCUUCUGCUCCGGGAUGGCUUUGGAAGCAAGAGCCCUGGAGUGGGAGCAGCGUGAGUGGAGGUGUCAGGAGCAGAGAAGAGCUUCCUUCCGCUGCCAGAGAUGGAGGACUCACUACAUCAUACCUGAAGGGCUGAUUUAUGGAAGCGAAGCAGCCCACAUUUGAACACAUUUUUGAUCAGAGCUGGAGGAAUGUGGGCAGAGGAGGCAUCGGAGGGACAGAGGGCUCAGUGCCUGCUUUUAAGCCCUGCCUGCGGCAUGAUUUUCAAAGACCUGUAGAGGGUCAUUCACUAGGAAGGGCUCUCUGAAGCCAUCUGUACCUGCGCCACCUCCUUCCUCAGAGUCUUGAGGCAGCAGGAACCUGUCCUCCCCAAAGGGGCCUUUGCACGGACCAGCCUGCAUGGCCAGUCAGGCCACCAGGGGCCGGUGACUCAGAGGCUGCCUCUAACUGCUCAGGGCUCCAUCCAUACUUUUGCACCCGUGUGCAAAGACAGGGUAUAGCCUGGAGNAGCCCCCCCCUAAAAAAAAAAAAAAAAAAAAAAAAAAAUCAGGAAAG
rnacentral:lncRNA from 1 species